CGUGAAAUUGCUUUUGCCUUUUCUCUUCUCUUGCUGAUGAAGAAAGUAAGAGGAGCCACAUUUUCCUUUAUCCUCUAAAUAAUAAACGUAGUGCUUCGUAUCCAUGCCUCAAGCCUCACUUUCGCUGUCUGCUGAUACAGACAUAUCUGCUGAUACUGCGUGCAGAUGUUUACGGAUAUCUGUCUCACCGGUGGCUCAGGAGGAAGAUUAAUCACCUGAGUGGCACUUCGAAGGGAGUAACACACCAGCCGUGGUAUUGGUUUCACAAUAAAGCAGUGGCGGCUUACUGUAAAAUGGUGCACCACCACACAACACAAGAAAGUCAGGCUUCAGCAGUGGCAGGGGAGUGGGAUGAACUGCCACAUUCCCAUUUCAUUCCAAGAAGCAAAACAGGAGGCUUUGUCCCUGCUUAUCCUGAUCCUAUAGGCUUUCUUGUGUUCUUAUGAUCUAGAACAGCAGAUCUUAACCUGUGGGUCCCCAGAUGUUGUUGGACUACAACUCCCAUCAUCCCUGAGCUCUGGCCUUGCCAGCUAGGGGUGAUGGGAGUUGUAGUUCAACAACAUCUGGGGACCCACAGGUUGAGAAAGGCUGAUCUAGAAUGAUGGGCUGGUUUGUAAGAUAAUCCUUCACCUGCGGUUUGUUGGUUUGUUGGUUUGUUUUAGGUCAAAACCAGCAUUUUAUAUUGUGUCCAGGAGCUCAUUGGUAACCUUUGUUUUUCUUUAAGGACAUGCAAGAUCUGUUUCCUGUGAUUCAUUUCUUCAAAAGCCCAUGAAUCUGCAUUAAGCUGCAGUUUCCUGUAAUCUCUCCAGUGACCUUUUGAGCAUCUUGCAAAUUGGCUGGAAGAGUUUCUCAACGGAAAGCAACCCCCUUUUUAAAAAAACAAAACAGAAACCCAACAGAAAAUGGCUGAACAGUUUAAUUCCUCCAUGCAGACAAAACAUGCUAUAUGACUUCUCAUAUUGUGGCAGUCAUCUUCAAAUGCCUAACGGGAAUGAAGAUCCAGCGCUCAAGUGUUCCUGCUUGGUAGCCGGCAGCAAAAUGUAUGAUCCCUUGAUCAGCCAAAGGAGAAGAAAUGAAUGUUGCUGGAAGGAUCACUAAAAGAAAUUCAGCUUUGUUUUCCGUCCGGGUGACAAAUCUUUCUGAAGAAAACAUUCCAG